GUCCACGCCGUAAACGAUGGGUACUAGGUUUGGUGGGUCUUGACCCCCGCCGAACCGGCGCUAACGCACUAAGUACCCCGCCUGGGAAGUACGGUCGCAAGACUAAAACUCAAAGGAAUUGACGGGGGCCCGCACAAGCGGUGGAUCAUGUGGUUUAAUUCGAAGCAACGCGAAGAACCUUACCUGGGUUUGACAUCUCCGGACAAACGUAGAGAUACGUCUUUCGUAGCAAUACGACCGGAUGACAGGUGCUGCAUGGCUGUCGU
rnacentral:rRNA from 1 species